rnacentral:rRNA from 1 species
UACAGAGGGUGCGAGCGUUAAUCGGAAUUACUGGGCGUAAAGCGCGCGUAGGCGGCUUUGCAAGUCGGGUGUGAAAUCCCCAGGCUCAACCUGGGAACUGCAUUCGAGACUGCAUUGCUAGAGUAUGGGAGAGGGAAGUGGAAUUUCAGGUGUAGCGGUGAAAUGCGUAGAGAUCGGGAGGAACACCGGUGGCGAAGGCGGGUCUCUGGGCAAUUCCUGACGCUGAGGCGCGAAAGCGUGGGGAGCAAACGGG